UUAUUGGGUGUAAAGGGUGCGUAGACGGAAAUGCAAGUUAGUUGUGAAAUACCUCGGCUUAACUGAGGAACUGCAACUAAAACUAUAUUUCUUGAGUAUCGGAGGGGUUUGUGGAAUUCCUAGUGUAGCGGUGAAAUGCGUAGAUAUUAGGAAGAACACCGGUGGCGAAGGCGACAAACUGGACGAUAACUGACGUUGAGGCACGAAAGUGUGGGGAGCAAACAGGAUUAGAUACCCUGGUAGUCCACACCGUAAACGAUGGAUACUAGGUGUUGGCAAUGAAUAAUUGUCGGUGCCGGCGCUAACGCAAUAAGUAUCCCACCUGGGGAGUACGACCGCAAGGUUGAAACUCAAAGGAAUUGACGGGGGCCCGCACAAGCAGUGGAGUAUGUGGUUUAAUUCGAAGAUACGCGAAGAACCUUACCAAGGCUUGACAUACAGAGG
rnacentral:rRNA from 1 species